AACCCUAUUUCAGUACCUUUCAUUCGCAUCACCAUGAAUGAACGGCUAUGCUAAUGGGGAAGAAUAAACACUGUCAUGGUCUGAAGGUGUGGCUAGCUGACUGUGCACCACUCUAAAUAUAUUGACAGAACAUACUGUA